rnacentral:lncRNA from 1 species
CGGUGAGCCAAUGGUCAGAUGGGUGAGGUGUCAAGGGAGCAUGUUCCAGACGGCAAGUCCCUCACGUCCUUGGAAUUGAAGACCUUCACACCAGACCCCGCAUGAUGGGGAGGCUGAGACCCUGGAAGGAAGGUGGCAACCCUAGCCACACUGCUGGGAGAGGACCCCUCGGCUCCCACACCCAGAGACCCCUUGAGGAGGGUCCUUGGGUCCCUUGUGGGCCUUCAUCCAGGAGCGAUGUCCGUGGUGGCCCCGAAAAGAUACGUCCCGGCCCCUGGCACCUGUGACUGUGACCUUAUUUGGAGAAAAGGGUCUUUGCAGAUGUAAUCAAGGGAUCGCAAGAUGCGAUCCUCUUGGAAUCUCCGCGUGGGCCCUAAAUCCAGGGACAGGUGUCCUUACAAGACACAGAAGAGGAGAGGACAUGGAGAUGAGGAGGAGCAGGUCGUGUGAAGAUGAGGCAGAGACGGGAGUGGUGCAGCCGCCACCAGGCUUCCCUGAUGGCUGGGACGUCUGUGGCCCGUGAGCUGGACAGUCUGGAAGCGAGCAUCUUCAGCAGCUGUGCCUGACCCCGGGCUCCAGAAGUUUCCCGAGUCUGCAGGAAUUGCCGGGAGACGCAGAGCAACCCCUUUAAUCAGGCUCCGUGAACUCUUUAACCCAAAGCUCUGCUGUGGGCGUCCACCCCUGAGAAGCCGCAGACGAGCUGAUCCUUGUCGUGCUGACUUCUGCUCAUCGUGUCCUGGACAACCUCGGGGCUGGGUUUCCUCUUCUCGGUGGCUUGGCCCCCAGGCCCGGCCUGGGUCGCUGCUCUGCCUUCCUCAUGGACCAGCGUGUCUGACGUUCUCCCCCCACAAGAUUCCUGCGUGGCUUUCGGUCGGUUGAAAGUCACUCAAAUAGGCUUCCUGAAUAACAGAGUCGGGCAGCUCGCUAGAUGCUCAUUUUUUGCAUUCAUUGAAUUUUCUAACAACCUUCCGGAAACGUCCUUUCCUUGCAGAAUUCAAAGGCAUUUGCAAAGCAUUAAAGAAACAUGCUCCCUGGACGCCCCCUGCUCGUUCUGCUGACCCCGCUUCCUUAAGACAAGUAUCCCCCCCGCCCCAAGCAGCCCCUGCUCUGCCUGCCCCUCUGCCUUGGCCCCGCCUCCCCGGUCUUCUCUCCUUCUGGGGCUCCGCAGCUUCCAGGGGACAAUUCCAAAUGGCAGAUCUCAGCCCUCACCUUGGGCUUAGAACUUUCCAUGGCUCCUCAGGAUAAACGUCUAACAGAAAAAUCCCAACGCCUAUCCCCAGGGUGGCUCCGAGGACGUCCCUGGGCCCAGCAUCGCCGUCCCUUUUCUGUGUCUGUG